rnacentral:rRNA from 1 species
GAUGAACGCUAGCGGCAGGCCUAAUACAUGCAAGUCGAACGAGAUUGUUGUAGCAAUAUAACAUGAAAGUGGCGCACGGGUGCGUAACACGUAUGCAAUCUACCUUUAAUUGGAGCAUAGCCUCGAGAAAUCGGGAUUAAUACUCCAUAACAUAAUUAAGUGGCAUCAUUUGAUUAUCAAACCUCCGGGGAUUAAAGAUGAGCAUGCGCAACAUUAGCUAGUUGGUAAGGUAAUGGCUUACCAAGGCUACGAUGUUUAGGGGGUCUGAGAGGAUGAUCCCCCACACUGGUACUGAGACACGGACCAGACUCCUACGGGAGGCAGCAGUAGGGAAUAUUGGGCAAUGGAGGAAACUCUGACCCAGCCAUGCCGCGUGCAGGAUGACGGCCCUCUGGGGUUGUAAACUGCUUUUAUACGGGAAGAAAAAAUCUACGUGUAGUAUACUGACGGUACCGUAAGAAUAAGGAUCGGCUAACUCCGUGCCAGCAGCCGCGGUAAU